GCCAGCGCAGGGGCUUCUGCUGAGGGGGCAGGCGGAGCUUGAGGAAACCGCAGAUAAGUUUUUUUCUCUUUGAAAGAUAGAGAUUAAUACAACUACUUAAAAAAUAUAGUCAAUAGGUUACUAAGAUAUUGCUUAGCGUUAAGUUUUUAACGUAAUUUUAAUAGCUUAAGAUUUUAAGAGAAAAUAUGAAGACUUAGAAGAGUAGCAUGAGGAAGGAAAAGAUAAAAGGUUUCUAAAACAUGACGGAGGUUGAGAUGAAGCUUCUUCAUGGAGUAAAAAAUGUAUUUAAAAGAAAAUUGAGAGAAAGGACUACAGAGCCCCGAAUUAAUACCAAUAGAAGGGCAAUGCUUUUAGAUUAAAAUGAAGGUGACUUAAACAGCUUAAAGUUUAGUUUAAAAGUUGUAGGUGAUUAAAAUAAUUUGAAGGCGAUCUUUUAAAAAGAGAUUAAACCGAAGGUGAUUAAAAGACCUUGAAAUCCAUGACGCAGGGAGAAUUGCGUCAUUUAAAGCCUAGUUAACGCAUUUACUAAACGCAGACGAAAAUGGAAAGAUUAAUUGGGAGUGGUAGGAUGAAACAAUUUGGAGAAGAUAGAAGUUUGAAGUGGAAAACUGGAAGACAGAAGUACGGGAAGGCGAAGAAAAGAAUAGAGAAGAUAGGGAAAUUAGAAGAUAAAAACAUACUUUUAGAAGAAAAAAGAUAAAUUUAAACCUGAAAAGUAGGAAGCAGAAGAAAAAAGACAAGCUAGGAAACAAAAAGCUAAGGGCAAAAUGUACAAACUUAGAAGAAAAUUGGAAGAUAGAAACAAGAUAGAAAAUGAAAAUAUUGUCAAGAGUUUCAGAUAGAAAAUGAAAAACAAGCUAAGACAAGUAUUGGAGAAGUAUAGAAGAUAGAAAAAUAUAAAGCCAAAAAUUGGAUAAAAUAGCACUGAAAAAAUGAGGAAAUUAUUGGUAACCAAUUUAUUUUAAAAGCCCAUCAAUUUAAUUUCUGGUGGUGCAGAAGUUAGAAGGUAAAGCUUGAGAAGAUGAGGGUGUUUACGUAGACCAGAACCAAUUUAGAAGAAUACUUGAAGCUAGAAGGGGAAGUUGGUUAAAAAUCACAUCAAAAAGCUACUAAAAGGACUGGUGUAAUUUAAAAAAAACUAAGGCAGAAGGCUUUUGGAAGAGUUAGAAGAAUUUGGAAGGCCUUAAAUAUAGUAGCUUAGUUUGAAAAAUGUGAAGGACUUUCGUAACGGAAGUAAUUCAAGAUCAAGAGUAAUUACCAACUUAAUGUUUUUGCAUUGGACUUUGAGUUAAGAUUAUUUUUUAAAUCCUGAGGACUAGCAUUAAUUGACAGCUGACCCAGGUGCUACACAGAAGUGGAUUCAGUGAAUCUAGGAAGACAGCAGCAGACAGGAUUCCAGGAACCAGUGUUUGAUGAAGCUAGGACUGAGGAGCAAGCGAGCAAGCAGCAGUUCGUGGUGAAGAUAGGAAAAGAGUCCAGGAGCCAGUGCGAUUUGGUGAAGGAAGCUAGGAAGAAGGAAGGAGCGCUAACGAUUUGGUGGUGAAGCUAGGAAAAAGGAUUCCAGGAAGGAGCGAGUGCAAUUUGGUGAUGAAGGUAGCAGGCGGCUUGGCUUGGCAACCACACGGAGGAGGCGAGCAGGCGUUGUGCGUAGAGGAUCCUAGACCAGCAUGCCAGUGUGCCAAGGCCACAGGGAAAGCGAGUGGUUGGUAAAAAUCCGUGAGGUCGGCAAUAUGUUGUUUUUCUGGAACUUACUUAUGGUAACCUUUUAUUUAUUUUCUAAUAUAAUGGGGGAGUUUCGUACUGAGGUGUAAAGGGAUUUAUAUGGGGACGUAGGCCGAUUUCCGGGUGUUGUAGGUUUCUCUUUUUCAGGCUUAUACUCAUGAAUCUUGUCUGAAGCUUUUGAGGGCAGACUGCCAAGUCCUGGAGAAAUAGUAGAUGGCAAGUUUGUGGGUUUUUUUUUUUUACACGAAUUUGAGGAAAACCAAAUGAAUUUGAUAGCCAAAUUGAGACAAUUUCAGCAAAUCUGUAAGCAGUUUGUAUGUUUAGUUGGGGUAAUGAAGUAUUUCAGUUUUGUGAAUAGAUGACCUGUUUUUACUUCCUCACCCUGAAUUCGUUUUGUAAAUGUAGAGUUUGGAUGUGUAACUGAGGCGGGGGGGAGUUUUCAGUAUUUUUUUUUGUGGGGGUGGGGGCAAAAUAUGUUUUCAGUUCUUUUUCCCUUAGGUCUGUCUAGAAUCCUAAAGGCAAAUGACUCAAGGUGUAACAGAAAACAAGAAAAUCCAAUAUCAGGAUAAUCAGACCACCACAGGUUUACAGUUUAUAGAAACUAGAGCAGUUCUCACGUUGAGGUCUGUGGAAGAGAUGUCCAUUGGAGAAAUGGCUGGUAGUUACUCUUUUUUCCCCCCACCCCCUUAAUCAGACUUUAAAAGUGCUUAACCCCUUAAACUUGUUAUUUUUUACUUGAAGCAUUUUGGGAUGGUCUUAACAGGGAAGAGAGAGGGUGGGGGAGAAAAUGUUUUUUUCUAAGAUUUUCCACAGAUGCUAUAGUACUAUUGACAAACUGGGUUAGAGAAGGAGUGUACCGCUGUGCUGUUGGCACGAACACCUUCAGGGACUGGAGCUGCUUUUAUCCUUGGAAGAGUAUUCCCAGUUGAAGCUGAAAAGUACAGCACAGUGCAGCUUUGGUUCAUAUUCAGUCAUCUCAGGAGAACUUCAGAAGAGCUUGAGUAGGCCAAAUGUUGAAGUUAAGUUUUCCAAUAAUGUGACUUCUUAAAAGUUUUAUUAAAGGGGAGGGGCAAAUAUUGGCAAUUAGUUGGCAGUGGCCUGUUACGGUUGGGAUUGGUGGGGUGGGUUUAGGUAAUUGUUUAGUUUAUGAUUGCAGAUAAACUCAUGCCAGAGAACUUAAAGUCUUAGAAUGGAAAAAGUAAAGAAAUAUCAACUUCCAAGUUGAUAACAUCUUCUGAGUCAUAACCAGCCUGGCAGUAUGAUGGCCUAGAUGCAGAGAAAACAGCUCCUUGGUGAAUUGAUAAGUAAAGGCAGAAAAGAUUAUAUGUCAUACCUCCAUUGGGGAAUAAGCAUAACCCUGAGAUUCUUACUACUGAUGAGAACAUUAUCUGCAUAUGCCAAAAAAUUUUAAGCAAAUGAAAGCUACCAAUUUAAAGUUACGGAAUCUACCAUUUUAAAGUUAAUUGCUUGUCAAGCUAUAACCACAAAAAUAAUGAAUUGAUGAGAAAUACAAUGAAGAGGCAAUGUCCAUCUCAAAAUACUGCUUUUACAAAAGCAGAAUAAAAGCGAAAAGAAAUGAAAAUGUUACACUACAUUAAUCCUGGAAUAAAAGAAGCCGAAAUAAAUGAGAGAUGAGUUGGGAUCAAGUGGAUUGAGGAGGCUGUGCUGUGUGCCAAUGUUUCGUUUGCCUCAGACAGAAACUUUGUCUGCGAACACUCUUUAAUGGACCAGAUCAGGAUUUGAGCGGAAGAACGAAUGUAACUUUAAGGCAGGAAAGACAAAUUUUAUUCUUCAUAAAGUGAUGAGCAUAUAAUAAUUCCAGGCACAUGGCAAUAGAGGCCCUCUAAAUAAGGAAUAAAUAACCUCUUAGACAGGUGGGAGAUUAUGAUCAGAGUAAAAGGUAAUUACACAUUUUAUUUCCAGAAAGUCAGGGGUCUAUAAAUUGACAGUGAUUAGAGUAAUACUUUUUCACAUUUCCAAAGUUUGCAUGUUAACUUUAAAUGCUUACAAUCUUAGAGUGGUAGGCAAUGUUUUACACUAUUGACCUUAUAUAGGGAAGGGAGGGGGUGCCUGUGGGGUUUUAAAGAAUUUUCCUUUGCAGAGGCAUUUCAUCCUUCAUGAAGCCAUUCAGGAUUUUGAAUUGCAUAUGAGUGCUUGGCUCUUCCUUCUGUUCUAACUUCACAGAGAAUGCAGUUGUCUUGACUUCAGGUCUGUCUGUUCUGUUGGCAAGUAAAUGCAGUACUGUUCUGAUCCCGCUGCUAUUAGAAUGCAUUGUGAAACGACUGGAGUAUGAUUAAAAGUUGUGUUCCCCAAUGCUUGGAGUAGUGAUUGUUGAAGGAAAAAAUCCAGCUGAGUGAUAAAGGCUGAGUGUUGAGGAAAUUUCUGCAGUUUUAAGCAGUCGUAUUUGUGAUUGAAGCUGAGUACAUUUUGCUGGUGUAUUUUUAGGUAAAAUGCUUUUUGUUCAUUUCUGGUGGUGGGAGGGGACUGAAGCCUUUAGUCUUUUCCAGAUGCAACCUUAAAAUCAGUGACAAGAAACAUUCCAAACAAGCAACAGUCUUCAAGAAAUUAAACUGGCAAGUGGAAAUGUUUAAACAGUUCAGUGAUCUUUAGUGCAUUGUUUAUGUGUGGGUUUCUCUCUCCCCUCCCUUGGUCUUAAUUCUUACAUGCAGGAACACUCAGCAGACACACGUAUGCGAAGGGCCAGAGAAGCCAGACCCAGUAAGAAAAAAUAGCCUAUUUACUUUAAAUAAACCAAACAUUCCAUUUUAAAUGUGGGGAUUGGGAACCACUAGUUCUUUCAGAUGGUAUUCUUCAGACUAUAGAAGGAGCUUCCAGUUGAAUUCACCAGUGGACAAAAUGAGGAAAACAGGUGAACAAGCUUUUUCUGUAUUUACAUACAAAGUCAGAUCAGUUAUGGGACAAUAGUAUUGAAUAGAUUUCAGCUUUAUGCUGGAGUAACUGGCAUGUGAGCAAACUGUGUUGGCGUGGGGGUGGAGGGGUGAGGUGGGCGCUAAGCCUUUUUUUAAGAUUUUUCAGGUACCCCUCACUAAAGGCACCGAAGGCUUAAAGUAGGACAACCAUGGAGCCUUCCUGUGGCAGGAGAGACAACAAAGCGCUAUUAUCCUAAGGUCAAGAGAAGUGUCAGCCUCACCUGAUUUUUAUUAGUAAUGAGGACUUGCCUCAACUCCCUCUUUCUGGAGUGAAGCAUCCGAAGGAAUGCUUGAAGUACCCCUGGGCUUCUCUUAACAUUUAAGCAAGCUGUUUUUAUAGCAGCUCUUAAUAAUAAAGCCCAAAUCUCAAGCGGUGCUUGAAGGGGAGGGAAAGGGGGAAAGCGGGCAACCACUUUUCCCUAGCUUUUCCAGAAGCCUGUUAAAAGCAAGGUCUCCCCACAAGCAACUUCUCUGCCACAUCGCCACCCCGUGCCUUUUGAUCUAGCACAGACCCUUCACCCCUCACCUCGAUGCAGCCAGUAGCUUGGAUCCUUGUGGGCAUGAUCCAUAAUCGGUUUCAAGGUAAUAGCCUGCAGCUGGUGUUUUG
rnacentral:lncRNA from 10 species